ACGAAAGAGACCUCAGCCUGGUAAAUAGUAUUUAUAUUGGAAAGAAUGUAUGAUUGACUUUUUAGAGGGACAUUUCGGUUUACCGGGAAGGAAGUUUGAGGCAAUAACAGGUCUGUGAUGCCCUUAGAUGUUCUGGGCCGCACGCGCGCUACAAUGAUGAAUUCAACGAGUUUAUAACCUUGGUUGAAAAGCCUGGGUAAUCUUUUGAACGUUCGUCGUGAUGGGGCUAGACCCUUGCAAUUGUUGGUCUCCAACGAGGAAUUCCUAGUAAACGCAAGUCAUCAGCUUGCAUUGAUUACGUCCCUGCCCUUUGUACACACCGCCCGUCGCACCUACCGAUUGAAUGGUCCGGUGAAAUCUUUGGACUGUGACUUUGAUUUGUUGACUCAGAGCUUUGUCAUGGGAAGUUGAUUAAACCUUAUCAUUUAGAGGAAGGUGAAGUCGUAACAAGGUUUCCGUAGGUGAACCUGCAG
rnacentral:rRNA from 1 species